UGGGGAAUUUUGGACAAUGGGCGAAAGCCUGAUCCAGCAAUGCCGCGUGAGUGAAGAAGGCCUUCGGGUUGUAAAGCUCUUUUGUCAGGGAAGAAACGGUGAGAGCUAAUAUCUCUUGCUAAUGACGGUACCUGAAGAAUAAGCACCGGCUAACUACGUGCCAGCAGCCGCGGUAAUACGUAGGGUGCAAGCGUUAAUCGGAAUUACUGGGCGUAAAGCGUGCGCAGGCGGUUUUGUAAGUCUGAUGUGAAAUCCCCGGGCUCAACCUGGGAAUUGCAUUGGGGACUGCAAGGCUAGAAUCUGGCAGAGGGGGGUAGAAUUCCACGUGUAGCAGUGAAAUGCGUAGAUAUGUGGAGGAACACCGAUGGCGAAGGCAGCCCCCUGGGUCAAGAUUGACGCUCAUGCACGAAAGCGUGGGGAGCAAACAGG
rnacentral:rRNA from 1 species